AUUGAACGCUGGCGGCAUGCCUUACACAUGCAAGUCGAACGGUAACGGGCCUUCGGGUGCCGACGAGUGGCGAACGGGUGAGUAAUGCAUCGGAACGUACCUUUCAGUGGGGGAUAACGUAGCGAAAGUUACGCUAAUACCGCAUAUUCUGUGAGCAGGAAAGCAGGGGAUCGCAAGACCUUGCGCUGAUUGAGCGGCCGAUGUCAGAUUAGCUAGUUGGUGAGGUAAAGGCUCACCAAGGCGACGAUCCGUAGCGGGUCUGAGAGGAUGAUCCGCCACACUGGAACUGAGACACGGUCCAGACUCCUACGGGAGACAGCAGUGGGGAAUUUUGGACAAUGGGGGGCAACCCUGAUCCAGCCAUGCCGCGUGAGUGAAGUAGGCC
rnacentral:rRNA from 1 species